AGCAGCCGCGGUAAUCCCAGCUCCAAUAGCGUAUAUUAAAGUUGUUGCAGUUAAAAAGCUCGUAGUUGAAUUUCGGGGUCGGUAGGUUGGUCGUGCCACUGGUAUGUACUGGCCUCACUGAUUCCUCCUUCCUGAUGAACCGUAAUGCCAUUAAUUUGGUGUUGCGGGGAAUCUGGGACUGUUACUUUGAAAAAAUUAGAGUGUUUAAAGCAGGCUAACGCUUGAAUACAUUAGCAUGGAAUAAUGGAAUAGGACGUUCGAUCCUAUUUUGUUGGUUUUCUAGGAUUUGACGUAAUGAUUAAUAGGGAUAGUUGGGGGCACUAGUAUUCAAUUGUCAGAGGUGAAAUUCUUGGAUUUUAUUGAAGACUAACUACUGCGAAAGCAUUUGCCAAGGAUGUUUUCAUUAAUCAAGAACGAAAGUUAGGGGAUCGAAGACGAUCAGNUACCGUCGUAGUCUUAACCAUAAACUAUAGCCGACUAGGGAUCGGGAUGGAUGUUUAAUUUUUUAAUGUACUUCAUU
rnacentral:rRNA from 1 species